UGUGGGUUAUUUGGGUAAAAAACCCGAUCACGAAGCCAUGUAUACAGAAAAUUGAAAGAUCCACCAUUUGACUGAAAAUGUGGAGAAAGCCUUGACCUUGGAGAAGAUUUCAGUUCCGGAGACCUAAGUUCUUACGGCGGGAUCUUCGUGGAAGAUCUUUGAACGCCAUGAAUCGAUCGACCGACGAUUUGUUCUGAAGGAUUACGGGAGAUUUCAGGGUUCCAUGCCUUCGCCUUUCUUCUCGUAUCCCUACCGCCGCCAUUGCUGGUUUCAGUUUCAGUACUCAGAUCCCAUAUCCAUGUCUCUUUCUGUCGGGUGGAUCUUAACCCAGUUCAUCAUAUGCCCUAAAGAAUGUGUUCCCACACUCUGUAAGAUUCUUCGAAGGACCAGAAAUCCCACCAUGGAUAGCUGCUGCUCGAUUGGUCCAAAAGGGCAUCAGACUUGAACCCUCCCCAGUCGUCGGAUGAGG